UACGGAGGGUGCAAGCGUUAUCCGGAAUCACUGGGUAUAAAGGGUGCGUAGGCGGCUUGCUAAGUCAGGAGUGAAAGGCCACGGCUUAACCGUGGGAUUGCUUUUGAUACUGGCGAGCUUGGAUUAGGACGAGGUUGGCGGAAUGUGGCAAGUAGCGGUGAAAUGCAUAGAUAUGCCAUAGAAUACCGAUUGCGAAGGCAGCUGACUAGACCUAUAUUGACGCUGAGGCACGAAAGCGUGGGGAGCGAACAGG
rnacentral:rRNA from 1 species